rnacentral:rRNA from 1 species
UACGAAGGGGGCUAGCGUUGUUCGGAAUUACUGGGCGUAAAGCGCGCGCAGGCGGUCUUCCAAGUCAGUGGUGAAAGCCCGGAGCUCAACUCCGGAACUGCCAUUGAAACUGUUGGACUUGAGUACGAGAGAGGUGAGUGGAAUUCCCAGUGUAGAGGUGAAAUUCGUAGAUAUUGGGAAGAACACCAGAGGCGAAGGCGGCGACCUGGACAAGUACUGACACUCAACUACGAAAGCGUGGGGAGCAAACAGG